CCUACGGGGGGCAGCAGUGGGGAAUAUUGCACAAUGGGGGAAACCCUGAUGCAGCGACGCCGCGUGAGUGAAGAAGUAAUUCGUUACGUAAAGCUCUAUCAGCAGGGAAGAAACACUGACCUUACGGUCAGCAGACGGUACCUGAGUAAGAAGCCCCGGCUAAAUACGUGCCAGCAGCCGCGGUAAUACGUAGGGGGCGAGCGUUAUCCGGAUUCACUGGGUGUAAAGGGAGCGUAGACGGCCAAGCAAGACAGGGGGGAAAGCCCGGGGCCCAACCCCGGGACUGCCCUUGGAACUGCAUGGCUGGAGUGCGGGAGGGGCAGGCGGAAUUCCUGGUGUAGCGGUGAAAUGCGUAGAUAUCAGGAGGAACACCGGCGGCGAAGGCGGCCUGCUGGACCGCGACUGACGUUGAGGCUCGAAAGCGUGGGGAGCGAACAGGAUUAGAUACCCGGGUAGUG
rnacentral:rRNA from 1 species